rnacentral:tRNA from 1 species
CAAAAAGUAGCUUAUAUACUCUAAAGCAUUCAACUUACAAUUGAAUGAUGUCUACCAAGACCUUUUUGA